GAGUAGGUGUCACACCGGGCCACUUCCUGGUUGGAGGCCAAUGUCCCGGGCGCCGAGUUGGGGAAGGUGCCGCGGGGAGGAGGCGCAGCCGGGACCCGGGUGGAGGAGGAGGCCGAGGCGCUGAGGACAUGUAUACCUCUGAGAAAUCUUGGACAAGAUACCUUAGCUUAAAACCUGCCUGGGACUUUAAGAACAGAGGAUAUCAGUCAUGAGUACAGAUGCUGAGCAGGAUUCCGCUUAUCAAACUU